rnacentral:pre_miRNA from 1 species
GUAGUAUUCCCUCCGUGCCAAAAUUCUUGUCUUACAUUUGUUUAGAUACGGAUGUAUCUAACACUAAAAUGUAACUAGAUACAUCCGUAUUUAGACAAAUUGAAGACAAGAAUUUUGGGACAGAGGGAGUACAAA